UACGAAGGGGGCUAGCGUUGCUCGGAAUCACUGGGCGGAAAGCGCACGUAGGCGGAUUGCUAAGUCAGGGGUGAAAUCCUGGAGCUCAACUCCAGAACUGCCCUUGAUACUGGCGGUCUCGAGUCCGGGAGAGGUGAGUGGAACUGCGAGUGUAGAGGUGAAAUUCGUAGAUAUUCGCAAGAACACCAGUGGCGAAGGCGGCUCACUGGCCCGGUACUGACGCUGAGGUGCGAAAGCGUGGGGAGCAAACAGG
rnacentral:rRNA from 1 species